UAUCUCGACUCAUUGUUUUUAAAAUCUCAAGCUAAUCGAUGGAACCGUACGGAACCGUCUCAGCACAAUCACAGCCACUAGCAACCAUCGUUACAAGGAUGGCCUGCAGCUUUGGUUCUCCACACGCUCGUCCUCUUAGCCCGAGUGUUCUGUUUUUCUAUGUCAAACUCUGUUUCUACUUCUCUUCUAAAUUUCAGCAUGAAGUAGCAUUUAUUGUAUAAACGUUUUUUGUUUGAAUAUAAUUUUACAU
rnacentral:sRNA from 1 species